GUCACAGGAAUGCACAGGUACAGCGUCACUUCCCGAUGAUGUCACUAUUUUUGCUUGGUGGAAGAGAGAGAAGAGAAUGUCACCUGUGGAUGAUUCAUCUUCGCAGCAGCUGGUUUGGUCCAGGUGUCUGGCCCCAGGGAGAAGCUUCUGUGUUUGGAGGUUGUGCAGACAUGAGUUCCAAGCUGAGAAGCUGUGCGACUAUGGGAGAGGGAUCUUCUGUCUGCACAGUGCAGCUGUCAGCCUUCCCUACAGAAGCGGUAAGGCGAUGAAGUCCUUGUGGGGACUUCAAGACUCCUUUUGUAUCUUCCUGGAGUCUGCACACCUGACUUGCUCACGGCCCAAUUGAUUUUAGAGAUUGACAAUCCGCACAUACUCUGUUACAGAACCCACGUGGCUGGAGCACUGGGGAGAGCAUUAUCUCCAGCUUCGCUGAACUUCCCACAUGUAGCCUUUGAAAUUUUUCCCGCUCAACGGUCUACCCCACUCCACUGCAGCCUUGAAAGAAGAUGUCUGAAAGUAGUCUAUUUUUAGUACGGAGCUGGUUGUGAAGAGAUCAUGAGUGGGAGAACUGGUUUCAGGGAAACUUGCAUGUCCUCAAGCUGCCCUUUGGUUGUGUGCCCCACCCCUGCAGCCGUACACCCCUCUCCACGUUGUCAUUUUUAAAAAGUUGUACUCUGUUGCUAUUUGGAAUAAAUGUCUCAGUUCCCG
rnacentral:lncRNA from 1 species